ACUUGUAGUCCUUUAUAUGGCUGUAUACCUGACUCAUUGCAAUUAUCUUCCAUAGAAUUGAGCUAGGAUGAAGUUCACACUUCACAAGUUUUGUGGGCAAAAUGUCUGCAUUUGGCAAUGACCACAUGGCUCUGCCACAGGCCUUGCCUUUGAAGGCCACUGGUAACAUGCUUUGUGCAUGUCAUGGCAUUUGAUAUGCCUGUUAUCAGCAAGUGAGCACAAGAUGGCCUUUGUGAAGAACUGGUGGACAACAGAUUAUGCAGAAGAUAUUUUCGCAUAUUUCCUUUGGAAGGAGAAAAACACCAUUUCAUUUCGAGGUAGAUCACCUCAGCCAAGUUCGAGGACCGCGACUGCAAUGUGCCGCAGCCGCAAGAGCUGCACCUGCUGGUGGCGCAGUCAUACCCGAUACGUGACUACCUGGCCAUCGAGGCCAUUCUACUGGAGUUCUUCGGCUGGAACGUGUCGCUUGUGACGGUGGCGCACUUCGUCGAGUUCCUGGCGACGCGCGUGCUGAGCCACGGCGACAUGGUGCUGGGCGCGCUGCAUGAGGGGCCG